rnacentral:rRNA from 1 species
CCUACGGGUGGCAGCAGUAGGGAAUAUUGCUCAAUGGGGGAAACCCUGAACCAGCAACGCCGCGUGGAGGAUGAAGGUCUUAGGAUUGUAAACUCCUUUUGUUAGAGAAGAUUAUGACGGUAUCUAACGAAUAAGCACCGUCUAACUCCGUGCCAGCAGCCGGGGUAAAACGGUGGGUGCAAGCGUUACUCGGAAUCACUGGGCGUAAAGGGUGCGUAGGCGGGGUAAUAAGUCAGAUGUGAAAUCCUGUAGCUUAACUACAGAAGUGCAGUUGAAACUGUUUCUCUGGAGUGUGGGAGAGGUAGGUGGAAUGCGUGGUGUAGGGGUAAAAUCCAUAGAGAUCAAGAGGAAUACUGAUUGCGAAGGCGACCUGCUGGAACAUUACUGACGCUGAUGCACGAAAGCGUGGGUAGCAAACAGGAUUAGAUACCCUAGUAGUC